rnacentral:tRNA from 1 species
GCAUCGUUAGCUCAACGGGCAGAGCACUCGAUCGAUAAUCGAGAGGUUGAUGGUUCAAAUCCAUCACGAUGCA